rnacentral:misc_RNA from 1 species
UUGCAAGGGCAAUAAUUGUCAUCAUAGUAUAAAUUUUCUUAAGUGCAUAAUUAUGGACCCAAAGCAAGGAGUGCAGCCAACUGGGCCGAUGAUGUGAAUGUUUAAAUAUUAUGAACAGAGUUACUAUGAAGAUUUUAUUGAUAUACAUGCCAGUUAGAUGCAACAACUACAAUCAGAAGAAAGUAUUAACUAUUAUCGAUAGCAGGGCAAGUGGUGCUAACUUUCCUCCACACACGCGCCUCAGCGGUUGGUCAAAAUUUUUCAUGACUAUUAGCUGCUCUAACGAGGAGAAGCAGGGUUCACAAAGGUUUGAAGUGGUCUCUUCACAAAUGGAUGGCUCAACAGCUGGGUUGCUGUGGGCCGAUCAUUUGAAUUUACUUGCAAGCAUUUAAAGAUGAAAUCCUGGGCGUCUUUUGAUAAUGAAUCAGGUACGAGAGGAGGUUGACCCCUGCCAAUCCUAAACAAUGCUUGCUUCCCUUCCAAGUGAGAGUAUGGUAGUUGACGAGUUAACAUCUCCAACACCGUACAUCCAAGGCUCCAUAUAUCAGCUGCAAGUCCAUAGCCACGAUUCUUUAAAUUAACAACUUCUGGGGCCAUCCAAUAUGGAGUCCCUUUGGAAGAUUUAACGUCCUUUAAUUUAGUAGCCUUGGCCAACCCAAAAUCUGCGAGCUUUACGGAUCCAUUCGCAUCCACUAGAAUAUUGGCACAUUUGAUAUCCCUAUGAACCACAUCCUGAUCAUGGAGAUAUUUUAAACCACUUAAUAUUUGUCUUGUGUAUGCGGAGACUUGGGAAUCCCUCAAAUGGUACUUCUGAUAAAGUUUGGCAAGUGAACCUUUUGUUGCUAGCUCAAGGAAGAUGUAAAGCUUAGAUUCAUCCUUGUCUGUCCCAAGAUAUUGAAUUAUGUUCUCGUGUUCAAACUUUCUUAAUAGAGAAAUCUCCUGCUCAAGUUGCAAAAUGCUCUGCUUCCCUUGGCUUCCNNNNNNNNAAAGAAACUUCUCUUACAGCAAAAAAGAAUCCAUCAUCGGUGAAUCCUUCAUACACUGUUCCAAAAGAUCCACUUCCUAAAAGCUUCCCCUUUUGCCACGAACUAAUGCUUCUUCUGAAUUUCCCAUUUGGAGAAAUGCUAUAAACUGGCUCCAUUACUGUUAAACUUUUAUAAUCUCCACGAUCAUUGCCGGCGGCGUUGUGAUCGUCAGUAUUAUUUGACGGAGACGAGCAACCUUCAGAAAGGACUUCUUUCUCCAGGAUCCUACCUUCAAAGAGAGAUGAGGCCGUUGCUU